rnacentral:tRNA from 1 species
CAUUAAGUGGCUGAAAAAGUCAAGCAUUGGUCUCUUAAACCAAAUUAUAGUAUAAUCAACAAAUACUCUUAAUGG